rnacentral:rRNA from 1 species
AGCGAACGCUGGCGGCAGGCUUAACACAUGCAAGUCGAACGCUCGUAGCAAUACGGGAGUGGCAGACGGGUGAGUAACGCGUGGGAAUAUGCCUUUUGGUUCGGAAUAACUCAGGGAAACUUGAGCUAAUACCGGACAAGCCCGUGAGGGGAAAGAUUUAUCGCCAAAAGAUUAGCCCGCGUCCGAUUAGCUAGUUGGUGAGGUAAUGGCUCACCAAGGCGACGAUCGGUAGCUGGUCUGAGAGGAUGAUCAGCCGCAUUGGGACUGAGACACGGCCCAAACUCCUACGGGAGGCAGCAGUGGGGAAUAUUGGACAAUGGGCGCAAGCCUGAUCCAGCCAUGCCGCGUGAGUGACGACGGCCUUCGGGUUGUAAAGCUCUGUCUUCGGGGACGAUAAUGACGGUACCCGAGGAGGAAGCCACGGCUAACUACGUGCCAGCCGCCGCGGUAA